UACGUAGGGAGCGAGCGUUGUCCGGAUUUACUGGGUGUAAAGGGUGCGUAGGCGGAUUGGCAAGUCAGAAGUGAAAUCCAUGGGCUUAACCCAUGAACUGCUUUUGAAACUGUUAGUCUUGAGUGAAGUAGAGGUAGGCGGAAUUCCCGGUGUAGCGGUGAAAUGCGUAGAGAUCGGGAGGAACACCAGUGGCGAAGGCGGCCUACUGGGCUUUAACUGACGCUGAGGCACGAAAGUGUGGGUAGCAAACAGG
rnacentral:rRNA from 2 species